UACGUAGGGGGCAAGCGUUGUCCGGAUUCAUUGGGCGUAAAGAGCGUGUAGGCGGCCAGGUAGGUCGGUUGUGAAAACUGGAGGCUCAACCUUCAGAGGUCGACCGAAACCAUCUGGCUAGAGUCCGGGAGAGGAGAGUGGAAUUCCUGGUGUAGCGGUGAAAUGCGCAGAUAUCAGGAAGAACACCCGUGACGAAAGCGGCUCUCUGGAACGGUACUGACGCUGAGACGCGAAAGCGUGGGGAGCGAACAGG
rnacentral:rRNA from 1 species